rnacentral:rRNA from 1 species
UUUGACCUCGGAUCAGGUAGGGAUACCCGCCUGAACUAA